GAGUUUGAUCCUGGCUCAGGACGAACGCUGGCGGCGCGCCUAACACAUGCAAGUCGAACGAGCGAGAGAGAGCUUGCUUUCUCAAGCGAGUGGCGAACGGGUGAGUAACGCGUGAGGAACCUGCCUCAAAGAGGGGGACAACAGUUGGAAACGACUGCUAAUACCGCAUAAGCCCACAGGUCGGCAUCGACCAGAGGGAAAAGGAGCAAUCCGCUUUGAGAUGGCCUCGCGUCCGAUUAGCUGGUUGGUGAGGUAACGGCCCACCAAGGCGACGAUCGGUAGCCGGACUGAGAGGUUGAACGGCCACAUUGGGACUGAGACACGGCCCAGACUCCUACGGGAGGCAGCAGUGGGGAAUAUUGCACAAUGGGGGAAACCCUGAUGCAGCGACGCCGCGUGGAGGAAGAAGGUCUUCGGAUUGUAAACUCCUGUUGUUGAGGAAGAUAAUGACGGUACUCAACAAGGAAGUGACGGCUAACUACGUGCCAGCAGCCGCGGUAAAACGUAGGUCACAAGCGUUGUCCGGAAUUACUGGGUGUAAAGGGAGCGCAGGCGGGAAGACAAGUUGGAAGUGAAAUCUAUGGGCUCAACCCAUAAACUGCUUUCAAAACUGUUUUCUUGAGUAGUGCAGAGGUAGGCGGAAUUCCCGGUGUAGCGGUGGAAUGCGUAGAUAUCGGGAGGAACACCAGUGGCGAAGGCGGCCUACUGGGCACCAACUGACGCUGAGGCUCGAAAGUGUGGGUAGCAAACAGGAUUAGAUACCCUGGUAGUCCACACCGUAAACGAUGAUUACUAGGUGUUGGAGGAUUGACCCCUUCAGAGCCGCAGUUAACACAAUAAGUAAUCCACCUGGGGAGUACGACCGCAAGGUUGAAACUCAAAGGAAUUGACGGGGGCCCGCACAAGCAGUGGAGUAUGUGGUUUAAUUCGACGCAACGCGAAGAACCUUACCAAGUCUUGACAUCCUGCGACGCACAUAGAAAUAUGUGUUUCCUUCGGGACGCAGAGACAGGUGGUGCAUGGUUGUCGUCAGCUCGUGUCGUGAGACGUUGGGUUAAGUCCCGCAACGAGCGCAACCCUUACUGUCAGUUACUACGCAAGAGGACUCUGGCAGGACUGCCGUUGACAAAACGGAGGAAGGUGGGGAUGACGUCAAAUCAUCAUGCCCUUUAUGACUUGGGCUACACACGUACUACAAUGGCGUUAAACAAAGAGAAGCAAGACCGCGAGGUGGAGCAAAACUCAGACACAACGUCCCAGUUCGGACUGCAGGCUGCAACUCGCCUGCACGAAGUCGGAAUUGCUAGUAAUCGUGGAUCAGCAUGCCACGGUGAAUACGUUCCCGGGCCUUGACACACCGCCCGUC
rnacentral:rRNA from 1 species